GACGCAACCUCGCCCAGGCUCCACUCUGUUCAAGUCGAAUACCUGAUGGAGCUGGCCAUCGGGACGCCGCCGGUGCCGUUCGUCGCCCUCGCCGACACCGGCAGCGACCUCACCUGGACGCAGUGCCAGCCAUGCAAGCUGUGCUUCCCGCAGGACACGCCCAUCUACGACCCCUCAGCCUCGUCCACCUUCUCCCCGUUGCCCUGCUCCAGCGCCACGUGCCUGCCCAUAUGGAGCCGGAACUGCACCCGAAGCUCGCUCUGCCGGUACCGCUACGCCUACGGCGACGGCGCCUACUCGGCUGGCAUCCUUGGCACGGAGACGGUCACGCUUGGCUCCUCUAGCGCACCCGUCUCUGUCGGCGGCGUGGCGUUCGGCUGCGGCACCGAGAACGGCGGCGACUCGCUCAACUCCACCGGGACGGUCGGCCUCGGCCGCGGGACUCUAUCGCUCCUGGCGCAGCUAGGCGUCGGCAAGUUCUCCUACUGCCUCACCGACUUCUUCAACUCUACUCUGGAUAGCCCAUUUUUGCUGGGCACCCUGGCGGAGCUGGCCCCCGGGCCCGGCGUCGUGCAAUCGACGCCGCUAAUGCAGAGCCCGCAGAACCCGUCGCGGUACUUCGUCUCCCUCCAGGGCAUAUCACUCGGCGACGUCCGGCUUCCCAUCCCAAACGGCACAUUCGACCUGAGUACCGACGGCACCGGCGGGAUGAUCGUGGACUCCGGGACCACCUUCACCAUCCUCGCGGAAAGCGGUUUCAGGGAGGUCGUCGACCACGUGGCGCAGGUGCUUGGCCAGCCGCCAGUGAACGCCUCCAGCCUGGAAAGCCCUUGCUUCCCAGCUCCGGCCGGUGAGCCGUUUUUGCCAGACUUGGUGCUGCACUUUGCCGGCGGUGCGGAUAUGAGGCUGCAUAGGGACAACUACAUGUCCUACAACCAAGAGGACUCGUCCUUAUGUUUGAACAUCGCCGGGACGACGCAUGAGUCCACGUCCGUGCUGGGCAACUUCCAGCAGCAGAAUAUACAGAUGCUGUUCGACAUGACCGUAGGGCAGCUGUCAUUCCGGCCCACCGACUGCAGUAUGCUCUGA
rnacentral:rRNA from 1 species